GGGGAAUCCGCGCGCUUAACGCGCGGGCGUCCGGUGGAAACUGCGUGGCUUGGGACCGGAAGACCAGAGGGGUACGUCCGGGGUAGGAGUGAAAUCCCGUAAUCCUGGACGGACCACCGGUGGCGAAAGCGCCUCUGGAAGACGGAUCCGACGGUGAGGGACGAAAGCUCGGGUCACGAACCGGAUUAGAUACCCGGGUAGUCCUAGCUGUAAACGAUGUCCGCUAGGUGUGGCGCAGGCUACGAGCCUGCGCUGUGCCGUAGGGAAGCCGAGAAGCGGACCGCCUGGGAAGUACGUCUGCAAGGAUGAAACUUAAAGGAAUUGGCGGGGGAGCACUACAACCGGAGGAGCCUGCGGUUUAAUUGGACUCAACGCCGGACAUCUCACCAGCCCCGACAGUAGUCAUGACGGUCAGGUUGAUGACCUUACCCGACGCUACUGAGAGGAGGUGCAUGGCCGCCGUCAGCUCGUACCGUGAGGCGUCCUGUUAAGUCAGGCAACGAGCGAGACCCGCACUUCUAGUUGCCAGCAAUACCCUUGAGGUAGUUGGGUACACUAGGAGGACUGCCGCUGCUAAAGCGGAGGAAGGAACGGGCAACGGUAGGUCAGUAUGCCCCGAAUGGACCGGGCAACACGCGGGCUACAAUGGCUAUGACAGUGGGAUGCAACGCCGAGAGGCGACGCUAAUCUCCAAACGUAGUCGUAGUUCGGAUUGCGGGCUGAAACCCGCCCGCAUGAAGCUGGAUUCGGUAGUAAUCGCGUGUCAGAAGCGCGCGGUGAAUACGUCCCUGCUCCUUGCACACACCGCCCCGUCAAGCACCCGAGUGGGGUCCGGAUGAGGCCGUCAUGCGACGGUCCGAUCUGGGCUCCGAAGGGGGCUUAAGUCGUAACAGGUA
rnacentral:rRNA from 1 species